UCUUCGGCAAUGGACGAAAGUCUGACGGAGCGAUGCCGCGUGAGUGAUGAAGGUCNUCNNAUCGUNANACUCUGUUGUUAGGGNNNNNCAAGUAUCGGAGUAAUAUGCCGGUACCUUGACGGUACCUAACCAGAAAGCCCCGGCUACCUACGUGCCAGCAGCCGCGGUCAUACGUAGGGGGCAAACGUUGUCCGGAAUAACUGGGCGUAAAGGGCACGCAGGCGGUCUUUUAAUGCUGAUGUGAAAUCCUACAGCUUAACUGUAAGCCGUCCUUGGAAACUGGGAGACUUGAGUGCAGAAGAGGAGAGUGGAAUUCCAUGUGUAGCGGUGAAAUGCGUAGAGAUAUGGAGGAACACCAGUGGCGAAGGCGACUCUCUGGUCUGUAACUGACGCUGAGGCGCGAAAGCGUGGGGAGCGAACA
rnacentral:rRNA from 1 species